UACGUAGGGGGGCAAGCGUUGUCCGGAAUCAUUGGGCGUAAAGCGCGUGUAGGCGGCCCGGUAAGUCCGCUGUGAAAGUCGGGGGCUCAACCCUCGAAUGCCGGUGGAUACUGUCGGGCUAGGAGUGCGGGAGAGGCGAGUGGAAUUCCUGGUGUAGCGGUGAAAUGCGGCAGACUAUCAGGGAGGAACACCAAUUGCGAAGGCAGCUCGCUGGAACGUAACUGACGCUGGAGACGCGAAAGCGUGGGAGCAAACAGG
rnacentral:rRNA from 1 species